CCUACGGGAGGCAGCAGUAAGGAAUAUUGGUCAAUGGGCGCAAGCCUGAACCAGCCAUGCCGCGUGCAGGAAGACGGCCCUAUGGGUUGUAAACUGCUUUUGAACAAGAGAAAACCUCGGUACGUGUACCGAGCUGAUAGUAUUGUUAGAAUAAGCAUCGGCUAACUUCGUGCCAGCAGCCGCGGUAAGACGAAGGAUGCAAGCGUUAUCCGGAUUCAUUGGGUUUAAAGGGUGCGUAGGCGGCCUGAUAAGUCAGUGGUGAAAUCUCUCAGCUUAACUGAGAAACUGCCAUUGAUACUGUCGGGCUUGAGUACAGAUGAUGUGGGCGGAAUAUGACAUGUAGUGGUGAAAUACUUAGAUAUGUCAUAGAACACCGAUUGCGAAGGCAGCUCACAAAACUGUAACUGACGCUGAGGCACGAAAGUGCGGGGAUCAAACAGGAUUAGAUACCCUGGUAGUCCGCACCGUAAACGAUGAUUACUCGUUGUUGGCAAUAUGACCGUCAGCGACCAAGCGAAAGCGANAAGUAAUCCACCUGGGGAGUACGCCGGCAACGGUGAAACUUAAAGGAAUUGACGG
rnacentral:rRNA from 1 species